UACAGAGGGUGCUAGCGUUGUUCGGAAUCAUUGGGCGUAAAGAGCUCGUAGGCGGUGUGUCACGUCGGCCGUGAAAACCUGCAGCUUAACUGUGGGCGUGCGGUCGAUACGGGCAUCACUGGAGUUCGGCAGGGGAGACUGGAAUUCCUGGUGUAGCGGUGAAAUGCGCAGAUAUCAGGAGGAACACCGGUGGCGAAGGCGGGUCUCUGGGCCGUAACUGACGCUGAGGAGCGAAAGCGUGGGGAGCGAACAGG
rnacentral:rRNA from 1 species